UACGUAGGGUCCGAGCGUUGUCCGGAAUUAUUGGGCGUAAAGGGCUCGUAGGCGGUUUGUCGCGUCGGGAGUGAAAACACCGGGCUUAACUCGGUGCUUGCUUUCGAUACGGGCAGACUGGAGGUAUGCAGGGGAGAACGGAAUUCCUGGUGUAGCGGUGAAAUGCGUAGAUAUCAAGAGGAACACCUGCGGCGAAGGCGGGUUGCUGGGCCGACACUGACGCUGAGGCGCGAAAGCCAGGGAGGCGAACGGG
rnacentral:rRNA from 1 species